AAGUCGUAACAAGGUCUCCGUAGGUGAACCUGCGGAGGGAUCAUUAACACUUUACAAAAGGCAAAGUAGACUAGCUGCACUUCUGUGUACUUGGUCUCACUUUACUUUUUAACCAACUCGUGAACGAAACUGUAUGCCCUGCCUCCUUAGCUGUUCUGUUCUACUACGAUCAGCUAGGUGUGUUUUUAUACUGUCACAUUGUUUACUACAAACCAUAAUACCAACAGUUGUAACUAAAGGUCAUAGCAUUGAUUUGCUGUGUACUGAUACUAUAACGAAAUGUUAAGCACAACUCUUAGCAACGGAUAUCUCGGUUCUCGUAACGAUGAAAAACGCAGC
rnacentral:misc_RNA from 1 species